GAUGAAGAACGUAGCGAAAUGCGAUACGUAAUGUGAAUUGCAGAAUUCAGUGAAUCAACGAAUCUUUGAACGCACAUUGCGCCUGCCAGCACUCUGGCAGGCAUGCCUGUUCGAGCGUCAUUUCAACCAUCAAGCCCUAGGCUUGCGUUGGAGCCCUGCGGCUGCCGCAGGCCCCUAAAAGCAGUGGCGGGCUCGCUAUCACACCGAGUGCAGUAGAUUACUCUUCGCUCAGGGCGUGUGGCGGGUUCCAGCCGUGAAACCCCCUACUUCUCAAGGUUGACCUCGGAUCAGGUAGGAAUACCCGCUGAACUUAAGCAUAUCAAUAAGCGGAGGA
rnacentral:misc_RNA from 1 species